UACGUAGGGGGCAAGCGUUGUCCGGAAUUAUUGGGCGUAAAGCGCGCGCAGGCGGUCUCUUAAGUCUGAUGUGAAAGCCCACGGCUCAACCGUGGAGGGUCAUUGGAAACUGGGAGACUUGAGUGUAGGAGAGGAAAGUGGAAUUCCACGUGUAGCGGUGAAAUGCGUAGAGAUGUGGAGGAACACCAGUGGCGAAGGCGACUUUCUGGCCUAUAACUGACGCUGAGGAGCGAAAGCGUGGGGAGCAAACAGG
rnacentral:rRNA from 1 species